rnacentral:rRNA from 1 species
UACGGAGGAUGCGAGCGUUAUCCGGAUUUAUUGGGUUUAAAGGGUGCGCAGGCGGGAGAUUAAGUCGGCGGUGAAAUUUUGCAGCUCAACUGUAAAAGUGCCUUCGAAACUGGUUUCCUUGAGUGUAGAUGAAGUAGGCGGAAUUUGUGGUGUAGCGGUGAAAUGCAUAGAUAUCACGAGGAACUCCGAUUGCGCAGGCAGCUUACUAAACUACUACUGACGCUCAGGCACGAAGGCGUGGGGAUCAAACAGGAUUAGAUACCCU